rnacentral:lncRNA from 1 species
UGCAAAGGAAGUCUAAACCGGAGGUGGGGUUGCUCCGGCAAGACCCUCCGACGCUCAAGUCAGUUCUCUGCCUCAACAAGAAUGGAGUGCUCGAAUGGAGAAUUUAGCAGAGUUUUGAGAUAAGAAAUGAGCUUAGAGAAUAACGUAUCUGGGUCCCCCUUUUAUAGGCGGAGGAGGCAACGGAUUGAUGGCGACAUUUGUAACCGUCUGGUAGUGGGCCGCCCAUGGUCAGGAGAAUUUAUUGCGAAG